AUUGAACGCUGGCGGCAUGCCUUACACAUGCAAGUCGAACGGUAACGGGUCCUUCGGGAUGCCGACGAGUGGCGAACGGGUGAGUAAUAUAUCGGAACGUGCCCAGUAGUGGGGGAUAACUGCUCGAAAGAGCAGCUAAUACCGCACACGACCUGAGGGUGAAAGGGGGGGAUCGCAAGACCUCUCGCUAUUGGAGCGGCCGAUAUCAGAUUAGCUAGUUGGUGGGGUAAAGGCCUACCAAGGCAACGAUCUGUAGUUGGUCUGAGAGGACGACCAGCCACAAUGGGACUGAGACACGGCCCAGACUCCUACGGGAGGCAGCAGUGGGGAAUUUUGGACAAUGGGCGAAAGCCUGAUUCAGCAAUGCCGCGUGCAGGAUGAAGGCCUUCGGGUUGUAAACUGCUUUUGUACGGAACGAAAAGCCCCGGGUUAAUACCCUGGGGUCAUGACGGCACCGUAAGAAUAAGCACCGGCUAACUACGUGCCAGCCGCCGCAGUAA
rnacentral:rRNA from 1 species